UACGUAGGGGGCUAGCGUUGUCCGGACUUAUUAGGCGUAAAGAGCGUGUAGGCGGCCAGGUAGGUCUGCUGUGAAAACUCGAGGCUCAACCUCGAGACGUCGGCGGAAACCAUCUGGCUAGAGUCCGGAAGAGGAGAGUGGAAUUCCUGGUGUAGCGGUGAAAUGCGCAGAUAUCAGGAAGAACACCCGUGGCGAAGGCGGCUCUCUGGGACGGUACUGACGCUGAGACGCGAAAGCGUGGGGAGCGAACAGG
rnacentral:rRNA from 1 species